rnacentral:sRNA from 1 species
GACAGCGUACCCUGGAGAGCGCUGGGAAGCCGCAGCCCCGGAGCUGUGAGCACCACACCCCACUCUGGCCGGAGCACGCCAAGCAGCUCCCCAUCGCUCCGGAAACGGCUGCAGCUCCUGCCCCCAAGCCGGCCCCCACCUGAGCCAGAACCAGGCACCAUGGUGGAGAAGGGAUCAGAUAGCUCCUCAGAGAAGGGUGGGGUGCCUGGGACCCCCAGCACCCAGAGCCUAGGCAGCCGGAACUUCAUCCGCAACAGCAAGAAGAUGCAGAGCUGGUACAGUAUGCUGAGCCCCACUUACAAGCAGCGUAAUGAGGACUUCCGGAAACUGUUCAGCAAACUUCCCGAAGCAGAACGCCUCAUUGUGGAUUACUCCUGCGCCCUGCAGCGUGAGAUCCUGCUCCAGGGCCGCCUCUACCUCUCUGAGAACUGGAUCUGCUUCUACAGCAACAUCUUUCGCUGGGAGACCACAAUCUCCAUCCAGCUGAAGGAAGUGACAUGUCUGAAGAAGGAAAAGACGGCCAAGCUGAUCCCCAACGCCAUCCAGAUCUGCACGGAGAGCGAGAAG